ACACGCAUGACACACUGCAUAUCAAUAAGCGGAGGAAAAGAAACUAACAAGGAUUCCCUUAGUAACGGCGAGUGAAGCGGGAAGAGCUCAAAUUUGAAAUCUUCAAGGUUCUACCUUGACGAAUUGUAGUUUAUAGAAGUGUUUUCUGUUAGUGGAGUGGCAAAAGUUCUUUGGAAUAGGACAUCAUAGAGGGUGAGAAUCCCGUAUUUGGUCAUUCCUCCUAGCGUUGUGAUACACUUUCAACGAGUCGGAUUGUUUGGGAAUGCAGUCCAAAAUGGGUGGUAAGUUUCAUCUAAAGCUAAAUAUUGGCGAGAGACCGAUAGCGAACAAGUACCGUGAGGGAAAGGAUGAAAAGAACUUUGAAAAGAGAGUUAAACAGUACGUGAAAUUGUCAAAAGGGAAGCGUUUGACACCAGUGUUGUUUUUCCGAAAAUCAAUUAAGAAUGGCCGGAUUUUAAGUUUCAUGACCUUAAAAGCUUGUUUCUUAUUUUUCUUGUCUUUCUUAAUGCACUUUUCGGUUAACAAGUCAACAUCAAUUUCUUUGUUGUAAAAGGUUAAGAGGAAGGUGGCUUUACUUUCGGGUAAAGUGUUUAUAGCCUUUUAACUCUGCAAUCGGAGAGAUUGAGGUCUGCAGCGUAGAUCCUUCGGGGCUAGAUACGUUUGUGCUAAGUUAUAGCUUUUCAUAGACAACUUGUUGACUAUGUUUAGUCUUGUAGCUUACUCGCAUGACGCUAUUUUACCUACGCUUAGGAUGUUGAGUAGCGACAUACGCAC
rnacentral:rRNA from 1 species